GGUCCUGGCUAGCUCAACUGGCAGAGCACGGCAUUAAAGUUGCCAAGGUUAGGGGUCCGAUUCCCACCGGGACCG